AACGCACAUUGCGCCCGGUGGUAUUCCGCCGGGCAUGCCUGUUCGAGCGUCAUUAUAACCACUCAAGCCUGGCUUGGUAUUGGGGUUCGCGGUUCCGCGGCCCCUAAAAUCAGUGGCGGUGCCGGUGGGCUCUAAGCGUAGUAAAUCUCCUCGCUAUAGGGUCCCUCCGGUUGCUCGCCAGAACCCCCAAUUUUUUAAGGUUGACCUCGGAUCAGGUAGGGAUACCCGCUGAACUUAA
rnacentral:misc_RNA from 3 species